AGAGUUUGAUCCUGGCUCAGAGCGAACGCUGGCGGCGUGCCUAACACAUGCAAGUCGAACGCUGAACUCCUGAAUCUUCGGAUUUGGGAGCUAGGCGUGGCGCACGGGUGAGUAACGCGUGGAUAACCUGCCCACUAGUGGGGAAUAACCCCGGGAAGCUGGGGCUAAUACCGCAUAAUCUUUUCCUGACACCGGUCGGGAAAUGCAAAGCCCGCAAGGGCGCUGGUGGAGGGAUCCGCGUCUGAUCAGCUAGUUGGUGAGGUAACGGCUCACCAAGGCAGAGACCGGUAGCCGGUCUGAGAGGACGAUCGGCCACACUGGAACUGAGACACGGUCCAGACUCCUACGGGAGGCAGCAGUGAGGAAUAUUGCGCAAUGGGGGAAACCCUGACGCAGCGACGCCGCGUGGAGGACGACGCCCUUCGGGGUGUAAACUCCUUUCGACGGGGACGAAUGCCCGCAAGGGUUUGACGGUACCCGUAUAAGAAGCCCCGGCUAACUACGUGCCAGCAGCCGCGGUAAUACGUAGGGGGCAAGCGUUGCUCGGAAUUACUGGGCGUAAAGGGUCCGUAGGCGGUGGGGCAUGUCGGUUGUGAAAUCUCCCGGCUUAACUGGGAGGGUGCGAUCGAAACUGCUCCGCUAGAGGGCC
rnacentral:rRNA from 1 species